GUUAUAAAGUUUUAUUUUGGCUUGUAAAUUUGUUAUCAGUUUAAUUUAUAUGCAAAUUUUUGUGUGGAUUUUUAUUUAUUUUAAUAGUAAAUAAUUUAUUUAUUAAUCGCAGUAAUUAAUAUUAUUAAUUAAGGAAAUUUAGAGAUAGUAAUAUUGAAGAGUAGUGGCUAAAUUUGUGCCAGCAGCCGCGGUUAUACGAAUAAUACAAAUAAUUUUUUUUAGUUAUAGUUAAAUUGAUUAUUUAUAAAAUAAAAAUAAAUUUAUUAGGUGAAAUUUUAAAUUUAUAUAAAUUUUAAAUUAAAUAAUGCAGGCUUGGAAAUUUUAUUUAUAAACUAGGAUUAGAUACCCUAUUAUUUAAAAUGUAUCUUAAAAAACUAAGGUAGUAAUAGUUAUGUUCUUGAAACUUAAAAAAUUUGGCGGUAUUUUAGUCUAUUCAGAGGAACCUGUCUUUUAAUCGAUAAUCCACGAUGGACCUUACUUAAGUUUGUAUUCAGUUUAUAUACCGUCGUUAUUAGAAUAUUUUAUAAGAAAGUUAAUUUUCAAGAUUUUUUAAGAAAAAAUAUAUCAGAUCAAGGUGUAGCUUAUAUUUAAGUAUAGAUGGGUUACAAUAAAAUUAUUUAUAUGAAUAUAAAUUUGAAAAUUUUAUUGAAAGUGGAUUUGAUAGUAAAAUUAUAUAGAUUAAUAAUUUGAUUUUAGCUCUAAAAUAUGCACACAUCGCCCGUCACUCUUAUUAUUAAGGUAAGAUAAGUCGUAACAUAGUAGGUGUACUGGAAAGUGUAUCUAGAAUG
rnacentral:ncRNA from 1 species